rnacentral:rRNA from 1 species
UACAGAGGUCCCAAGCGUUGUUCGGAUUUAUUGGGCGUAAAGGGUGCGUAGGCGGCGGAGUAAGUUGGGUGUGAAAUCCCGGGGCUCAACCUCGGAAUUGCAUUCAAUACUGCUUCGCUAGAGUACUGGAGAGGAGGCUGGAAUUUACGGUGUAGUAGUGAAAUGCGUAGAUAUCGUAAGGAAGGCCGGUGGCGAAAGCGAGCCUCUGGACAGUUACUGACGCUGAUGCACGAAGGCCAGGGGAGCAAACGGG